AGAGGCCUCCAAGUAGAAGCAAAUCAUUGGCUUUUGAAAUCUUGAGCUUUGAAGAGGACAAAGUGCUGGGGAAGGGGCUGGAAACACUGGAAAACCCUCUGGAAAUUUGUACCAUAGCCUGCAGUAUGUGUAAAACUGAGAUGGCUUGCAGAAAUACCUGAGUUAAAGACAAAAAGUAGAGGAGGAGGAGGAGGAAAGCAGUUUUAAGAUGAAUAAAGAUGGAGGCCAGGUAGUGGCACACCUGGUUAAACAUACACAUUAUAGUGCGCAAGGACCUGGAUUCAAGCCCUUGGUCCCCACCUGCAGGGAGGGAUAAAGCUUCAAGACUGUAGUAGGAUUGCAGGUGUCUGUCUUUGUCUCUUUCCCUUUUUAUCUUCCCCUCCCUUCUCAAUUUCUCUCUGUCUCUAUCCAAAAAAACAAACAACUAAAAAGGAAAAAAAGAUGAAUGAAAAGGGCCAAGUUCAGAGAGGAGAAAAACUAUAAAGAGAGGGAAAGUCAGGUUUUUUUUUAAAGCCUGGCCAAGUUUCCAGUCUGCUUUCAAUGCCUGUGUCAGGACAAAGGACGCUGCGCCCCCUGGUGUCAGACUGGAGGGCAGCGCCAACUCACUGCUGGGAAGAAGGCAGGCUAACAACAGGGAAACCAGCUGGAAAAGAGGAAGGGUCAGGUGCCUUUUCUUCUGUUUGCUAAAGGAACUGAAAUUAAAAUAACCUUUUGCUUUCUCAAGUUUGGAGUUUAAAUAGAGAUUCUGGAGUAGAAAGGAAAUAACUCUCUCUCUCUCUCUUUUUUCUUUUCCUUCUCCAUGCAAUUUAGGCUAACAGGACAAUGCCUGAUAUAGCCUGGUGGGCAGAGAAGUACACUACCCUGAAAGAAAAGGCCUGUAUUUUAAAAAGAAUAAUGGUCCAGGGAAAGUCAUUAAAAUUUUAGAACUUCCUUUUCCUUGUCUUAAAAUUAAAGGUAAGGUGUUUUAAAGGUCUUCUCCAAGCUCUAAUGUUGAAAUUUAUUAGAUAAUCAUUUCAUUCCAUUCCCAGUGCCUUGCUAACCUGACACUGUUUUUCCUACUUAGAUGCAUGUACGGUUUGCAUGAGCUCCUCACUUCUGAGCAAAGAUUUAUGUCCUCUCUUUCCUUUUAAAAAUGCAAAUUUCUUCAGCACAGAAGCUAUUCAUUCCACCUUUUGUGACGCCUCCUGCAAGAGGCAGCCGUCUACAGGAAUCAUCAAAUAACUCCCCUUGGCCAUGCAAGAAAGAAAAUGAAAUUCUCUACUGACCUCAAUCAGGGCAGCUGAAAAUGCACUCCUCACCCACCAACUCCCUCUUUACCUGCAAGUUUCUCUAAAUACCAUGAAUCUUGAUUUACAGGUCACAGAUCAGGGUUUAUUUUUUUAUUAUUCUUUAUGCUUUGCACAUAAAAAUUCUUAAUGGAGCAUUAAAAUGGAUAAAUUACUGUGAGCAAGACCAAGACUAUAGGAUAGGUUCUAUAGAAGGGAUUUAAUGACACUUACUCAGUGGUCUCUGCCACCCCCCCCCCCCCAGUCAGCUUCUGACAAAUAAGAGUUUCCUCUUACCUGGAGUUGAGCAGGGAUCCAUAUCCUUGGCUGAUUCUAAAGAGAUUGCAUUGGUGAUUUAAUAUUUAAGAAGUUUGAAAUUCUGUGCAUGCUAUUUCUGGCUUAAUUUUUGUAAGGCAAUUCCAUUAAGGGUGUAGGAAAAAAGAAUGUAUGCUCAAUUUUUAGUUAAAAGGCCACUUACUUGGAAGAAAUAAAAAUCUGUUCAUACAAACACUUGUCCACACAUGUUCACAGUGAUAUUAUUUGUAAUAGUCAAAGCUAAAUUCAGAGCCUUGCCACACAACAAGAUGCAGGACCAAACCCAGUCCUCUACCUGAAGACAAACUUUUCAAUUGAAGAAAAUAAAAGCAAAAUACGUAUAUUCAUGAAGUGGCCAACCACUAAACUACAAUAUAAAGAAAUGAAACACUGGUACAUACUACAACACUGAUGAACUAAACAACAUUAUGCUAAGUGAAAGAAGCAAGUAUCAAAGGAACACAUGACUCCAUUUCUGUGAAAUUUCUAGAAUAGGAAAAUCUUCAGAGAAAGAAAAUUAAACAAUGGUUGCCUAGGGUAGAUCCAAGUAAGGGCAUCAGAAGAGGACAGGAAUUUGGGUCAAAGUUAUUUUGGGGAGGGGGGAUGUAAUCAAAAUGUCCUAAAAUUAACUGUAUGAACAACUCUGUGACUGCACAAAAGAACUAUUGGGUUUUUGUGCACUAUGGAUGGGUGAAUUGUAUGGUAUGCAAACUAUAUCUUAAUAAAGCUGUUUAUUAUUUUUAUAGUGA